AUGAGGUUCGCCAAAUACGAGGCUAAGGUCGCCAUAGUGAGCGCCCUUCAAGACGUCACAUUCAUUGUCUCUGACAAGACCCAGGUACCGAUGGAUAUGACGAAAAUGAAACUCGGAGGUUUCCUGUACCCGAAAGAUGGGAUCAUGCUUGAGGUCCGAAGACGUUGAUACGAGCAGUGUUAUAGCGAGAGGGGAGUUAUAUCGUGAAACCGCUAGCAGAGCACGCGCAUAAAAAUUGCAACACCACGUAAACGUAUUAGUAACGAGUUAUUAGUACUGUUAUAGUAACGAGUCUUUUAUUCGUGCAUGCUUAAUUAGCCUCACCCGUUAUUGUUACCGAUUAAAAUUAUGUAAUCGCUCGGUUUUAUAUAAUUUAAUCUUUGUAAAAGUGUAUUAGUUCAUAGAUUUAAAAAACAAUGAAUCUAGAAUAAUUCAGAUGUUAAUUCACUAGGACAAAAAUAUGUAGAAAAAUUGGUAAUAUUUUUUUAAGGAAAAUGUUUCUAUACUAAUGAUUGCAAAGGCAAUGAUUGCAAUGCGACCAACGUAGAAUGCAAUGAAAAAAUAAAACAAACAGUCCACAUGAUGUAAGACUAAA